rnacentral:rRNA from 1 species
GACGAACGCUGGCGGCGUGCUUAACACAUGCAAGUCGAACGGAAAGGCCCUGCUUUUGUUGGGUGCUCGAGUGGCGAACGGGUGAGUAACACGUGAGUAACCUUCCCUUGACUUUGGGAUAACUUCAGGAAACUGGGGCUAAUACCGGAUAUGAGCUCCUGCUGCAUGGUGGGGGUUGGAAAGUUUCGGCGGUUGGGGAUGGACUCGCGGCUUAUCAGCUUGUUGGUGGGGUAGUGGCUUACCAAGGCUUUGACGGGUAGCCGGCCUGAGCGGGUGACCGGCCACAUUGGGACUGAGAUACGGCCCAGACUCCUACGGGAGGCAGCAGUGGGGAAUAUUGCACAAUGGGCGGAAGCCUGAUGCAGAAACGCCGCGUGCGGGAUGACGGCCUUCGGGUUGUAAACCGCUUUCGCAUGUGACGAAGCGUGAGUGACGGUAAUGGGUAAAGAAGCACCGGCUAACUACGUG